rnacentral:rRNA from 1 species
GCUCAAUGAUGUUUUCAUUAAAUAGCCGCAGUAUCCUGACUGCGUGAAAGUAGCAUAAUAAUUUGCCUUUUAAUUGGUGGCUGGUAUCAACGGUAUUAUGAAGGUGAAACUGUCUCUUAUGUAUUCUAUUGAACUUACCUACUAGGUGAAAAGGCCUAGAUGAUUUUAUAAGACAAGAAGACCCUGUCAAGCUUUACAAAGUUAAGAUUUAUCUAAUAUAUUUUGUUUGGUUGGGGCAACCGGGGGGCAAAUAAAAUCCCUCCAUUUCUAUUUCCUUUCUAGGAACGACCCGCAUUAGCGAUCUAGGGAAAAAGCUACUGCAGGGAUAACAGCGUAAUUUUCUUUGUGAG